ACUCCCUUAUCUUAUUUGAAGUCUACGUGUAAAUAAUCUCGUUUUACAUUAGCCUUAAUUCAGUAAUUUUAGGACUAACUCAAAUCAAUAUUUGGAAAGACUUUUAUACCUACUAUCAUUAUUCGAUUUAUAUAAGAUAAUAAAAUUUUAAAAUUUAUGAGAUAACUUAUUUUAAAUAGCAACAUAUCACUUCUUAUAACAAACGUAUCAC
rnacentral:lncRNA from 1 species